UUUUAUUACAGUUUUUCACUUCUUAAACGUGAAAAGUUCAUACAAAUUGUAUUUGACUGUUCUGAUUUACAGCAGUGAAUAAAUGCUAUUAAUUGAUAAGGUAUCUCUGUUUAUUGCUGAUUUUAAAGCUUACUGAACUUUAAAUGAUUCAGAUAUCUACAGUUCUACAUAUAAAUACACAAUAUAAGAUUGGCCCCUCUGUAUUAGUUGUGGCCCCUCUUGUGCCCCCCAGUUGAAAAAAUCCUAGAAUCGCCCCUGCAUACAACGCUGGUGGUAGUAA